UAGGGAAUCUUCGGCAAUGGACGAAAGUCUGACCGAGCAACGCCGCGUGAGUGAAGAAGGUUUUCGGAUCGUAAAACUCUGUUGUUAGAGAAGAACAAGGACGUUAGUAACUGAACGUCCCCUGACGGUAUCUAACCAGAAAGCCACGGCUAACUACGUGCCAGCAGCCGCGGUAAUACGUAGGUGGCAAGCGUUGUCCGGAUUUAUUGGGCGUAAAGCGAGCGCAGGCGGUUUCUUAAGUCUGAUGUGAAAGCCCCCGGCUCAACCGGGGAGGGUCAUUGGAAACUGGGAGACUUGAGUGCAGAAGAGAAGAGUGGAAUUCCAUGUGUAGCGGUGAAAUGCGUAGAUAUAUGGAGGAACACCAGUGGCGAAGGCGGCUCUCUGGUCUGUAACUGACGCUGAGGCUCGAAAGCGUGGGGAGCAAACAGG
rnacentral:rRNA from 1 species